UUAUGCCCCCCUUCGAAGAAGAGGGGGUAUAUUGCUUUGCUCAUGUCGGUCUGUCUGUCUGUCUGUUGGUCGGUCCGUCCACCAGGUGGUUGUCAGACGAUAACUCAAGAACGCUUGGGCCUAGGAUCAUGAAACUUCAUAGGUACAUUGAUCAUGACUCGCAGAUGACCCCUAUUGAUUUUGAGGUCACUAGGUCAAAGGUCAAGGUCACAGUGACCCGAAAUAGUAAAAUGGUUUCCGGAUGAUAACUCAAGAACGCUUAGGCCUAGGAUCAUGAAACUUGAUAGGUAGAUUGAUCAUGACUCGCAGAUGACCCCUAUUGAUUUUCAGAUCACUAGGUCAAAGGUCAAGGUCACAGUGACCCGAAAUAGUAAAAUGGUUUCCGGAUGAUAACUCAAGAAAGCUUAUUCCUAGGAUCAUGAAACUUGAUAGGUAGAUUGAUCAUGACUCGCAGAUGACCCCUAUUGAUUUUCAGGUCACUAGGUCAAAGGUCAAGGUCACGGUGACCCGAAAUAGUAAAAUGGUUUCCGGAUGAUUACUCAAGAACGCUUAUGGCUAGGAUCAUGAAACUUCAUAGGUACAUUGAUCAUGACUGGCAGAUGACCCCUAUUGAUUUUCAAGUCACUAGGUCAAAGGUCAAGGUCACAGUGACUCGAAAUAGUAAAAUGGUUUCCGGAUGAUAACUCAAGAAUGCUUAGGCCUAGGAUCAUGAAACUUCAUAGGUAGAUUGAUCAUGACUGGCAGAUGACCCCUAUUGAUUUUCAGGUCACUAGGUCAAAGGUCAAGGUCACAGUGACUCGAAACAGUAAAAUGUUUUCCAGAUGAUAACUCAAGAAUGAUUUGGCCUAGGAUCAUGAAACUUCAUAGGUACAUUGAGAAUUACUGGCAGAUGACCCCUAUUGAUUUUCAGGUCACAAGGUCAAGGUCAAAGUGACUCAAAAUAGUUAAAUGGUUUCCGGAUGAUAACUCAAGAAUGCUUACGCCUAGGAUCAUGAAACUUCAUAGGUACAUUGAUCAUGACUGGCAGAUAACCCCUAAUAAUUUUCAGAUCACUAGGUCAAAGGUCAAGGUGACAGUGACUCGAAACAGUAAAAUGGUUUCCUGAUGAUAACUCGAGAGCGCUUAUGCCAAGGAUCAUGAAACUUCAUAGGUACAUUGAUCAUGACUGGCAGAUGACCCCUAUUGAUUUUCAGGUCACUAGGUCAAAGGUCAAGGUCACAGUGACAAAAACGUAUUCACACAAUGGCUACCACUACAACUGACAGCCCAUAUGGGGGGCAUGCAUGUUUUACAAACAGCCCUUGUUUAUUAGUUUUAUUUACAUUCUAAAUAAUGUAUCACUUUUGAACUAUUUCUGGUAUUUUUGUAAUCAUCUUUAUGAUAAAUGUGAUCAUUAAAUAUAAUUUUGACAGUAAUCUUAUUAAAAUUGAAAUAUAGUCCAUAUCAAAAGCAUGAACCACAGUAUUUCUUACAAGUAGAAAAGCCUCUUGUCAAAUCAAUAUUGCUCCGGUGAAAGAUUUACAGUGAUUUUUAACAGGUCAUUGUUGCAAAAAACACAACAAACAUGGAAAAUGUAACAACCUAAAAGUAUAUGUUUACAUUUUUUUUCUAUAUAUUGUUUAAUUGAAAAAACAACACUGUUUGUCUUGUUUAAUAUUAUGUUUAUUUCAACACUGACAGAACAAACUUUGAAGUUUUGUUUAUCAGUUUAGAUAUUAACCCACUUAGAUUCUCUGAUUGUCCUCAAUAACAUGGCAUUACUAGACAUUAUGCUUUCUAUGUAAAGUACUUGAUGUAACGCCUCAUGAUUUUGUGAUAAACCAAAGUAAAAACUCUUUGUGACAUUGUUUAUAUAUUAGAUACAUGCAUGUCAUGCCAUAAUGUAUGAUGUUUUCCAUUGAAAAACCUGGCUUUAUGGGUAUUGUGUUGUCCUUUAUAAGCCUACAAAGUCUGCGCAGGCAUUAUUUCUGUCUACGGUGGGUUAAGCGAUUUGAUUGAAACAGAAAGUUAUACAGUUCCUGACGGCACAGGCUUAUUCAGGAUAAGACUUGACAAAAAUAACAUUUAGCCAAGUUUUCCCACAAAAUUCUUCUAUAAAAUUAUUAUUGUGUGACAGCAAGAAAAAAGAUAUGAUGUUUAAACUUCAACAUAUAAAAAUAAUGCACACAAAAACAUUUACUUUAUUUGCUUGAGGUGUGAACAAAUAAAAAGAUUUCAAAGAGUUUAUACAUUAUAUUCACUUUAAGUAAGACAUUAUCUGAUGAAACAAAAUUUACUGGUAGAUUGAUAUUGAAUUUGUACUUUUGAAGUUGCUACAGAUAUUUAUAAUUAUGUUACAGAUAUAUAUAUUAUAAUGUUAUUUGUACUCAGUUGUUUUAUAUUAUUUUUUAUUUAUAAUAUGUAUAAGUGCAAUACAUAGUUGUAAGUAGAAUCUUAUUGUAGACAGUAUGAUGUUAUUUCCUUGUAAUAGAACUUAAUACCAAAUAUGCCAUAUUUAAUUGAGCCACACUCUUCGAAAAGGGGGUUUAAUGCAUGUGCGUAAGGUGUCUUCCCAGAUUAGCCUGUGCAUUCUGCACAGGCUACUCAGGGACGACACUUUCUGUAUAAAAUUGAGUUUUGCUAAGAAGGGACUUCCUUCAAACGAAAAAUAUCAUAAAAGCGGAAAGUAUCGUCCCUUAAUAGCCUGUGCAGGCGGCACAGAACUGGGACGAUACUUUUCGCUCAUGCAUUAAACCCCUUUUCACAGAGGAUGGCCCAAAUCUAUUAUUAGGCUGAUAUAUCCCGUCAAUGUUAUUCCUACUUAAUUACUAUAUCAAACUAUGUAAACAGUAUACAAAGUGUAACAUAUAAUUCAGACUAUCAUGUUUUAAUGAAUUUUUAUAUAAUUUAUGUAUACUGAAAUUAUGUUAUACAAGAAGCAGCUUUUUUCAUUCUUAUCAGAACAAAACAACAACAAUAAAAUAACAAACAAUAUUUGAUUUUGAUAAACAGCCAAACAUGUAAAGAAUUAUAUUAUUAGUAAGAAAGUUUAUGUUUUAUUAGAUCUACACCUGUAUAUUUUUUUCUUUAGGCCAGUUCACUUUUAGUCUAUAUAGAGCUUUACAAAUUUGUUUACAGCCAAAGUAUAAAUGUUCAUCGGAGAAGAACCUCACCUGAUUUUCUUUAAACUGUGAUAGGACAAUUUACAAACGUUUGUGACUCUGUUUUUGUAUGCAUCUAAAGCAACUUUUUGUAGCUCGCAGGGUCUUGAUUUUUUUAUAAGAUAUAUUAUUUUCUUGUAUUUGUUUGAGUGUAAGGAACACUAUUGACACGUAGUCAUGUUUUACAAUGUCUUAAACUGUCAUUUUGGUGUAAGAUAAAAUUGAAGGUAUAAAUAAAUAAAUCGGCAAUACAAAGUCUACCUUUAUAAGGAGAACAAAUAUUGAUAUGAGUUCAUAUAGUUAAGAUAAAUAUAAGAAAAACGCUGUUUCUUUUUACUUAGAUCACAUACUGUGUCAGAUGUUGUUCUUUAAAUUAUGUAGACGUAUGUCGUUUAAAGCAGUAGAGGACUGUUUACUUUUCCUGGUCUGUGUGUAUUUAAUAAAAUGUCUAGGUCGAUAUGUGUGUAUACAGUUUAUUUGGUAUUGUUUUUAUUAGGCAAGUUUUAUAAAAAUGUUAUUAGAAA